ACUCGGUACUUCCAACCUUCCUCAGAAUACUGAGAUUAAAAUUUUAAUCUCAGUAUUCUGAAGAAGGCUCGAAGUACCGAGU